GUUGGCUCAGAAGCAGCCACCCUUGAAAGAGUGCGUAACAGCUCACUGGUCUAGUGGUUCCGCGCCGACAAUGUAGCGGGGCUCAAGCACACCACCGAAGACGCGGCAGUAUUUUGUACUGGGUAGGAGAGCGUCCCAUGAGGGGCGAAGCGGCCGUGUGAACGCGCCGUGGACUUCAUGGGAGUGAGAAUGCAGACAUGAGUAGCGAGAGACGGGUGAAGAUCCCGUCCGCUGGAUGACCAAGGGUUCCAGGGCCACGUUCAUCGUCCCUGGGUGAGUCGGGUCCUAAGGCGAGGCCGACAGGCGUAGUCGAAUGGAUGAACGGGUCGAUAUUCCCGUACCGGCUUUCAGCCGCCAAAACCGAGGCUUGGAGUACUAACCUCCGGGUCCGGGCUUACUGCUCCUUCGGGGGCGGGAUGCCCUGGCCUGUUGGGACCGAUCCUUGUAGUAGGUCAGCGCAGGAGUGACGCAGAAGGGUAGCCGGCCGCGGAGGUGGUCUUCCGUGGUCAAGCACGCAGGGCGUGGGACAGGCAAAUCCGUCCCGCAUGGGUCCGAGGUGCGAUGAUGGGGGCCUUAUGGCCCGAUAUCCGGUGAUCCCGGCUGCCGAGAAAAGCUUCGGCGUCAGGCUCGAAGCCGCCCGUACCCCAAACCGACACUGGUGGUCAGGUAGAGAAUACCAAAGCGAUCGAGCGAAUCCUGGUCAAGGAACUCGGCAAAUCACUCCCGUUCCUUCGGUUUAAGGGAGACCCCCGAUGGUGAACACACUUGCUGUGGGAGCUUUUGGGGGUGGCACAGACCAGGGGGUAGCGACUGUUUACCAAAAACACAGGUGCAUGCGAAGGCGCAAGCCGCUGUAUAUGCACUGACGCCUGCCCGGUGCCGGAAGGUUAAGAGGAUCCGUCAGCCUUCGGGUGAAGCGGUGAAUUCAAGCCCCGGUAAACGGCGGUGGUAACUAUAACCAUCCUAAGGUAGCGAAAUUCCUUGUCGGGUAAGUUCCGACCUGCACGAAUGGCGUAACGACUUCCCCACUGUCUCGACCAGGAGCUCGGCGAAAUUGCAGUACGAGUAAAGAUGCUCGUUAAGCGCAGAAGGACGAAAAGACCCCGGGACCUUUACUAUACCUUGGUAUUGGCAUUCGGUGUGGAUUGUGUAGCAUAGGCGGGAGGCCGAGAGGCGCGGUCGCCAGAUCGCGCGGAGCCGUAAGGUGAAAUACCGCUCUGUUCGCAUUGGAUGUCUAACCUCGAACAGUCAUCCUGUUCAGGGACAGUGCCUGGCGGGUAGUUUAACUGGGGCGGUUGCCUCCCAAAGAGUAACGGAGGCGCCCAAAGGUCCGCUCAGCCCGGUUGGCAAUCGGGUGGCGAGUGCAAGUGCACAAGCGGGCUUGACUGCGAGGACGACGGUCCGAGCAGGGACGAAAGUCGGGACUAGUGAUCCGGUGCCGGUGUACGGACGCGGCAUCGCUCAACGGAUAAAAGGUACCCCGGGGAUAACAGGCUGAUCAUUCCCAAGAGUCCAUAUCGACGGGAUGGUUUGGCACCUCGAUGUCGGCUCGUCGCAUCCUGGGGCUGGAGCAGGUCCCAAGGGUUCGGCUGUUCGCCGAUUAAAGCGGCACGCGAGCUGGGUUCAGAACGUCGUGAGACAGUUUGGUCUCUAUCCUCUGCGCUCGUUGGAAUGCUGAGGAGGCCUGCCCAUAGUACGAGAGGACCUGGGUGGACGAACCUCUGGUAUGCCGGUUGUCACGCCAGUGGCACGGCCGGUUGGCUACGUUCGGAAGGGAUAACCGCUGAAAGCAUCUAAGCGGGAAGCCUGCUCCAAGAUAAGCAUUCCGUGGAACCUUCGAGUUCCUGUAGUCCCCAUGCAGAACACGUGGUCGAUAGGCCGGACGUGGAAGCCCCGCGAGGGGUGGAGCCGACCGGUACUAACGGACGAAAGGCAACACUA
rnacentral:rRNA from 1 species